rnacentral:rRNA from 1 species
AUUGAACGCUGGCGGCAGGCUUAACACAUGCAAGUCGAGCGGAGAUGAGGUGCUUGCACCUUAUCUUAGCGGCGGACGGGUGAGUAAUGCUUAGGAAUCUGCCUAUUAGUGGGGGACAACAUUCCGAAAGGAAUGCUAAUACCGCAUACGCCCUACGGGGGAAAGCAGGGGAUCUUCGGACCUUGCGCUACUAGAUGAGCCUAAGUCGGAUUAGCUAGUUGGUGGGGUAAAGGCCUACCAAGGCGACGAUCUGUAGCGGGUCUGAGAGGAUGAUCCGCCACACUGGGACUGAGACACGGCCCAGACUCCUACGGGAGGCAGCAGUGGGGAAUAUUGGACAAUGGGCGGAAGCCUGAUCCAGCCAUGCCGCGUGUGUGAAGAAGGCCUUUUGGUUGUAAAGCACUUUAAGCGAGGAGGAGGCUACCUGGAUUAAUACUCUAGGAUAGUGGACGUUACUCGCAGAAUAAGCACCGGCUAACUCUGUGCCAGCCGCCGCGGUAAUAC